rnacentral:rRNA from 1 species
AGUGGCGGACGGGUGAGUAACGCGUGGGUAACCUGCCUCAUACAGGGGAUAACAGUUAGAAAUGACUGCUAAUACCGCAUAAGCGCACAGUACCGCAUGGUACGGUGUGAAAAACUCCGGUGGUAUGAGAUGGACCCGCGUCUGAUUAGGUAGUUGGUGGGGUAACGGCCUACCAAGCCGACGAUCAGUAGCCGACCUGAGAGGGUGACCGGCCACAUUGGGACUGAGACACGGCCCAA